GUCACAACAUUGGUAUCAGGCACAAUGAUUAUGUGGAAGAAGCUGAGCUGCAGGCAACAAUGAUGUGCAAAUCCCACCAGUUCCUCCCCGACCUGGGCGCGCAUGGCCAUCAGGAACGAGUUCAUCAUCCGGCAUUUCAGUUAGCUGCUUUGAAAUGAUUUUUACACACAUUGUUUCAUUUCCUGUUGCUGCCGCCAGUCGUGGCUCCACUCAAGUGCUCGGUGCUGCCCCUCAGUGGCAACGUGCAGUUGCUGUGUGUGCAGAGCAGUGUCAUCAUCCUCGGUGGGCAUGACCAGGAACAUUCAUACAUGCAGGAAUUACAUCAUAU